GCAUUGGUGGUUCAGUGGUAGAAUUUUUGCCUUUCAUGCAAGAGACCUGGUUCGAUUCCCGAUUAGUUCA
rnacentral:tRNA from 1 species